rnacentral:misc_RNA from 1 species
AAUCCUCAAAGCCCCUCUUUCUUUGAUGAGAAAAGGAGUUUUGGACUUGGAGGUUCAAUGCUCGCUUUCGGAAUCGAAAGCGAGCUCCUCUCAAAUGAAUCAGUGGGGUCCGCUUUGCCGGUCCUUGACGUGAUAAUGUGUUUCUACGUUUUGGAUCUGGCACAGUCCCU